UUUAACUGGGGAGAAUAUGCAUCAUUCCUUGGCUGUUUCCCCACACCUAUCACCCCAGAGGAAUAAAAAGAACCUAAGGAGAAAGCAGGCAGGGCACCAGCGUUCAUCCAGUUCUCUCAGCUUCCUCGUUCAGAUACAACGUGACGAGCAGCCCCUGCAGCUUUCUCUGUGGUGGAGUGUUCCUUUCAACUGUGAGCCCAAACAAACCCUUCACUCUUUAGGUUGCUUCUCUCAUGUGUUUAUUCCCAACACCCGAAAAGUGACGAAUGCAUAGACUUUAAGGAAAUCAUUUUCAGUUCUGUGCCCCUGGCAUGGGUGCACAGGACAAGACAGGCAUGUUUCUGUGAGGAGGAUGUUUACUCUUCAUGUAGGAAGCAGAGCAGUAAAUGGAACUCUGUUUUUCUAGAACUGAUUUAAUUUUCAACAGUUUUCAUCUUAUUGAGAAUGACAUUCAGGUACUUCAAGCCAAAACCAAUUUAGAAUCCUCUCUUCAGGAGCAAUAAUAUGAACUAACCAGUACCCCCAGAGCUUCCUGGGACUAAACCACCAAUCAAAGAAAACACAUGGUGGGACUUGUGUCUCUAGCUGCAUAUGUAACAGAGGACGGCCUAGUUGGUCAUCAAUGGGAGGAGAGGCCCUUGGUCUUGUGAAGAUUGUAUGCUCCAGUAUAGGGGACGUUCGGAGAGGAAACUAGGAAAGGAGAUAGCAUUUGUAAUGAAAGGAAGAAAAUAUCUGAAUAUAUAUACAUACAUAUAUACAUACAUAUAUAUAUAUGUGUGUGUGUAUAUAUAUAUAUGAAGUGAUAUAGUGCUAAAAAAAGAAAAGAAAAGGAAAGAGAAGAGAAGAGAAGAGAAGAAAAGAGAAGAAAAGAGAAGAAAAGAGGAGAAAAGAGAAGAAAAGAGUCCUCUUCUUUCCGGGCUGGGUUUGGGUGUUUGCUGUGAACCAUGGUAUACUGUGGGAUUGGCUGGAUGCUGUUGUCUCGAGAGGUGCUUCCUUUGUUUUCAAUGCCCACUCAUCUCUGGUGAUUGUCCCUGUUCCCGUGCAUCCUGGAUCUCAGUUAAGGAGGCACAUGAUGACAGGUAUGAGUCUUUCUUGGGCUUCUAAACAUCUCCAGUUCUGCUUUCAGAUCCAUGCAGGGAACACACUGCCUGCUUUCUGUGUUCUCUCUGCCCAGGUACAGAGGACUCCAUGGCAUUGCUCUGAGUCUACCCUCCUAGGAAUCUCUUUCCAAUCCUGUUUUUCUGAGUUUGUUGAUGUGAUGGGAUGUGGGAAGUCUGGUUGUUGACUUUCAGGCCCCAGCCAUGACCAGCGUGCUCUGCUUAUCUCUAGUUCUUACCUGCAGGGCUCCAAGGAUGGGGCUCCUUUAGGGGUUGCUCAUUGGGCAUAAUUAUCUUGUUCUCUCCAAUUCUUUUUUCCUCUCCAUUUGGAGGAGUCCUCUCUAUUCCAAGGGUUUCAGAGAGCAAACUCAACUGUGCUGGUCUAAUCUGUUUCUUUCAUUUUGUUCCUUUAAGCUUGGACUGCAUCCUUUGGACCUAUGUUCAAACUGCAUUGGUAACCAUGGGACUGGCUGAUAAGCACCUGAGGAGUGAUUAUUCUGUUAUUUCCAUUUGCAGAUGUGGUUGAAGUUUUUAUGUUAAAAACAUGGUAGUUUUUAUUUUCCAAAAUAUGAAUAACUGACAUGUAUUUUCAGGUUAUUUUGUGGAAACAGCCCCAAAGGUAAUUUAUGUCCAGAAUUCUGAAAAGGCAAGGAUCUCAGGGGCAACAAAAAAAUCUCUGUAUGUCUCUGUCUCUCUGACUGUCUCUGUCUGUCUGUCUCUGUGUAUGUGUGUGAGUGCAUGUACACACUCUACUUCUUGACUCUAACACGAGAGAGGAAAUUGUCUUCAUCUUUGCUCUCGCUCAGUGGCAUAAGAUUAAACAUUGCCUGUUCAUUGCCAUGAAUCCUUCAGAGCUCUCCUGGGAAAGCUCGUCUGUCAGGGGCUUACAAGCCUGUUCAGUCCUGCCUUCCACUUGCUAGUUGUGGAAGAGAAGUGAGCUGCCAUGGCCAAUUGCCUGUGUCCUUUGGGUAUUUCAUGUGACUUCUGGAAGCUGAGGCUUCUUUGCUCCUUCCCUGGGGAAUGGGAAACUGCAUUCCCGCUUCGAUUCAGAACUUCUAGAGACGCUGUCACCUCUAUAGAGACAACAUCCCCUAAGCAGUGACUCCAUUAGAUCUUUUGUAAUGACAGGAGCCUCCAGCUUUGCGAAUGACAUGAAUUUUUUUCCUUUGAUCCAAGUGGCUAGGACUUGAGAUCAGAAAGUCAGUAUAAAUCAGGGAUGGAAGCCCCUGCCCUUUGCCUAUAUUCUUCUUGUUUGGGACUAUUGCUUCAUUUUACAGUCUAUAGAUCUGUGUACUGUCUGGCCAGUGUCUAGUUUCUCUGUUGCUGGACAUUUCCUGCAAUUUUGUAAACCUCCUACCCUGUUCUGGGUGCUGGGAAUACAGGGACCAGUCAGCUGCCGGCAGCAUUGGUGGGUCUCCAGGGUCCACAUGAGGCCAUUGUGUAAGAGCUCUGCCCUCCCCCAAACCUCUUUUAGCAACACUGCUGCCAAUUUCUGGCUGUCAGCAGUUCACACCUGCUGCUCUUCCUCCAAGGACUGGUCUUCGGGCAGUUGGACUUAAUGUUUCCACCCUUCAUCCCUAACCACACUGCCUAUCAAGUCAUGCUGACUAUGGGCUAUGGAAUCGAAGUUAGUUGCCUUGAGUUGGGCCACUUCUGAUCUGCAGAACUGUCUAUAGUUACCCUCCAGAGUUUCUUUGAAGUGGAAUGUGCCACCCUGAAGCUGUCUUCUGCCCUCUUGUCUGGGAUCUGUCCCUCACUGGCUAUGCCUUCUUCUGUUCCCCUUUCCUUCUUGCUUACAGGUCUGCCCUGGGAAUACUUUACAAAUCAAUCAUGAACGAUUCUUCUCUGAAGGUCAGAUUUUGCAAAGUCUUUAUAAGGUAGUCAUAAGAUGCUGGUGAAGACAGUGCAAAACAUGACGAUGCAGGUUUAGGGUUCUAUGGGUAGUUUCUAGGGCUGUAUGUUUGCUUGUGUGUAUGUAUGACUUGUGGUGGUCCAUAUGCUAAAGGCUUCAUGUGGCUACUAGUGUAGCUGAAUGUGGGGGCAGAGGUGUGAUCUCUGGGCUGCUUUGUCCUGAAAUCUUAGCUGUGAUUCUGUUUUUCAUGAUUUUUAUCUUUGACAGAUAAUCUUGCCAACUUGAUGGAAUUGAAAAAUUAAAAUAUGAGUAUCUUUUUUUCUUUUUUCUUUUGGUUUUCCAAGACAGGAUUUCUCUGUGUAGUCCUGGCUAUCCUGGAACUCACUCUGUAGACCAGGCUGGCCUCAAACUCAGAAAUCUGCCUGCCUCUGCCUCCCAAGUGCUGGGAUUAAAGGCAUGCACCACCACUGCCUGGUCCUGUGAGUAUGCUUUUAAAGAGGCUUGUAGGUUAGGUUAGUUGAGGUCGCAGUAUCUACCCUCAAUUGGGUGAUACAAUCCCGUUGACUAUACACUGAACAAAAAGGUAAACCCGAGCUGAUUGCUAUUCCUCUGCUACCCCAGGGUACUAUGUGACCAGUUGCUGCAAGCUCCCGCUGUUUAGCCUUGUCUACCAUGAUGGGCAAUAUCUUCAAACUGUGAGCCUUCCGUCAGUUGCUUUUUGUAGCAGGCAUGGUAGUCUUUGUGCUCAUAGAUAAGCACUUGGGGAACCUGGCAUGUUAGCACACAGAGUUGUUCCCCCAAGGAAGGAAUACAAUACCUGCUAUCUGCCCAGAAGGCAGGUUCUGGAUGAAGUCUAACCUGGUGACUUUUGCACUAUCUGUGUGGCAGAAGAUCACAGUAUACCCUUCCUCAGGCCCUUAUCAUAAGCUUGUUUUUUUCACCCAGUCGGUAGUACCUAUCUCUAUAGAAGCUGUCACAUGCAGUCAAUCUAUAGAACUCAUCAUUAUGGAAGGUGCCACAUGUCAUUUACAAAGAGCUUCAGUGUAGUCAUGCUCAAUUUUUAUCUAGUUUACUUUAUUCCUCAAAGUGAUUUAUGUAUGCUUUAUUGUACAUACAGGAUUGAGUUAACUAUCACUAGAAAGUUUUCACCAAAUUGUGUUGUGCUUAAAAUACCAAAAAUACAAAUAGUUGGAGUCAGACCACAGAAGUAUGAGCCAACUCUGGCUACUGACUCAUGUUGAAUCAAGCUUCCUUCUCGCCUCCUGUAGAUCAUCGCUCUGCUGGCUGUGGAGGUCACAGAGACUCUGCAUCUUUUGUCAUGUGUGUUGUUGCAGCAAUAAGACAAAUAGCUAAUACACUACACACUUGUAUAGAUAUUUCUGCAGCCUUCUGGUGGUCCUAUCAUCUUCUGCAAUCUGAGCUCUGGUCACAAGUUUGUGGGACACUGAAGAAAAACAAAGGAAAGAGAUGGCCAUGUGGUCAGGUCUAGAUGUGUGUGAAUGCUUAUGAAGCAGAAGGAGUUUGGGUUUAAUAAAGACAGGGCCAGGAAUAAGUUAGACCUACCUGGCCAGAAGCCAGGGUGGAGGGGUCUAGAGGGACUUCCAGUUACUCUGUCUCAGGAUACAGCUCAGAUAAGGAGACAGAUCUUCUACCCUUCAUGACCUAAAGUCUUUAAUGAUAGAACAAGUUGCCAUCUGUUUCAUUUUUAAAUGGACAUUUAUAUAUCAGCUUCUGCUUCUAAUGUCCAGAGCUGACAGCAAAGAAGAGCGUCAGCGUGUCUUAAAUUCUAACCUUUCUUAUUUAAGAGACACCAAGAAAAAGAAUGACAACUUUUGAGCUUCUCUACACGUUCUCUUUUUUCUUUUUUGUAAAUUUAAGGAUAUAGAUAUUUCUUUUGUAUUUAUGAGAACUCUGUUCUCAUGCACAACAGAAGAGGGCAUCAGAUCUCAUUGCAGAUGGUUGUGAGCCAUUAUGUGGUUUGCUGGGAAUUGAACUCAGGUCCUCUGGAAGAGCAGACAGUUCUCUUAACCCCUGGACCAUCUCUCCAGAGAUUCUUCCCAUGAAUUUCUACGUAUUCUAUGCAGACAUACACACUGUAAUCACUAUGCUGCAUUACAGAUGAGGAAACUGAGGCUACAAUAACCUGGGAAAAUUGCUGGGUUACAGAGAGAUGAUUCCAGAAUGUGAACAUAGCCCCUCUGCGCUGUACAGCACCAUGUUUCCCCCUUUGUGAUCACAGGACAUUUUACCUGCGGGUCACGUUCUGGUGUCUGCUCAGAGUACAUGUGAAAUACAGCUCACCUCCAGUGUGGCCAUGAGGCAUCAAUCUUAGUUCUUUUGUGUCUUUCCAGCUUGGCUAUGAGAGAACAAACACAUUCAUCAGGGUCGACCGAGACCACGAUUAAGUGAACUGACUGUGAGCCUUGGGUUUACAGAUGUAGGUGGGUCUGACCUUGGCAGCAAGGGGGCUCGUAAAUGAAACUAUGACAUCCAUAACUUCGAGAUGCUGUGAUUUACAUCGCCGUGUAAAUGAGAACCCUUUAGCUAUACUGUGUGUAGGCUGCAAAUUGUUGAAGACACUAACCUCCUGGAUUGAAAUCAGUGCGGUGAUAAGGGCUACCUGCCUGAUCACUAUGUGCCAGAAGCACCAGAGAUGUUUACGUGUCAUCUCUACAUGCCACACAAGAGCACAGUGAAGUACAUGUUGAUAUGCUUGUUUUAAAUAUAUAGAGUUCAAGGAUGGAGAUCCUUUUGAUGGGUUUUCAUAGCUGGUAAAUAAAAAUAUUGACACUUAAGCAUUUGGAUUUGGUACUGAAGUCUGUGUACUUCCACAUCGAUUGUUUGCUACUCAGAAUAUAAUCCCUUAUGGGUAGCACCACCUAGGAGCUUGUGAGAAAUUCAGGAUUCCAGGUUGUACCCUACUAGUUGAUGGGCAUCUGCAUCUUAACAAGGAUUCCAAGUGAUGCUUGGGCAUACAGAAUUUCAAUGCACUGGUCUGAGUUACAUUAUCUCAAUUUCUUUUUUUUCGAGGUCUUGAUUCAAUCUUGAUUGCCACUGAGCAUGCCUGUUCUAAGUUCUCCUGGUGGAGAAUUCUCCCAGUUUUCUUAGAUAUUCAUCACAGACCACAGAAACUGCCAGACCUGUGAUACUUUAUGUGGCCAGAAGGUGGCACUGGUGGAAUCUCUCCCAGCAUCUAUGGAGAUCUCCUUAUAGCAGCAAAGGCAGAAAGCUCAGACCUGGGUCACAGGGAGGGUGCAAUACAUGGAUUAAAAAUGUCACUGGUCCAAUUUGAGACCCAUUCCACUGACAAGCACCAAUCCCUAAUACUAUUAAUGAUAUUCUGUUAUGCUUGCAGACAGGAGUAUGUUGUCCUCUGCAAGAUUCACCCAACAGCUGACUCAGACAGAUGCAGACACCCACAGACAAACAGUGGAUAGAGCUUGGUAACUCUUAUGGAAGAAUAGGAAUAAGGAUUGCAGGUCCUGAAGGGGAUAGGAACUCCAUAGGAAGAGCAACAAAGUCAACUAACCUGGACCCUUGGGGCUCUAAGAGUCUGAACCACCAACCAAAGAACAUACAUGGGGUGGACCUAGGGCUCCCUGCUCAUAUGUAGCAGAUGUACAGCUUGACCUUCAUGCGAAUCCUGAACAAUUGGAAUGGGGACCAUCCCAAAAGCUGUUGCGGGUUGGUGCAUUGUGUUCUACUAGCUGAGCUGCUUUGUCUGGCCUCAGUGGGAGAGGAAACAGAGAAUUGAAGUGUCAGGGUGGAGGGCAUACCCAGGAGAUCCUCCACCCAUUCAGAGGAGAAAAGGAGCGGGUGGGUGGAAGAAGUAUUGUGAGAGGGGGUGUCAGUGAGGGGGCAGUGAACGGGAUGUAAAAUGAAUAAGUAAAAACAACAACAAAAAAUCAAAACCAAAACAAACACUCAACCACCACCACCACCACCACCACCAAAACGUCACUAUGGGGGCUUUGUAGCACUAUGGCAAAGAGGAAAGGGGAUUUUUGUCAAUGUCUGUGUUUCCUAGGAAGUGGUGUAAAUAGUUUCAGCAGAAAACCAAACCAAACAUGGUGCACCGCUGCUGAGCUGCAGUCUUGUAGCUUGUCCUCAGGCUCAGGAGGAAAGGCAGCAUGGGGCCUGGCUACUAAUGCUUACUUUGCUGCUUAUUCCAUCAGAACUUUGGGUCCUGGGUUCGUAUCCUGCCUUUGAGAAAUCAAGAAUGCAAGGUCAUAAUAUAAUGUUAAGGAGCAACAUUCCAAUAAGUCAAAAUUAAGGAAAUCCCUUUGUUACACUGUGCACAGAUCACCAUGCCCAAACUCAUCUAGUUAAUGACUUGCAUUAUUUCUAACUUUAUAAUGUAUAUAAAAGUGAAUAUGGGGGGCACAAAGAUGGCUCAGUCAAGAAGUACUUGUACAUCAUGAGGAUAUGAGUUUGAUGUCCAGUACCCAAGUUUAAAAAGACAAGCAAACAAAUAAACAACCCCCCAAAUGGUGUGAAACAGCAUAUGCAUGUAAUUGUAGCAAUGGGAAAGUGGAGACAGGAGGGUCACUGGAGCUCACUGGCAUGGCAGCCUAGUGGAAAUGGAUGGCUUCAGGCCAAUGACAGACCAUGUCUCAAAAAUAACACGGAGAACAGUUGAGGAAGACAUCUGAUACGAACCCUCACACAUGCACCGAUGCACACACAUGUGUACACACAUGAACACUCAGACAAAGAUACAAAAGAGUGAGUAUAUAAAACAGAAAAGAAAAUCAUGAAAUAAAACAUCCAAAAGAAUUCCCUAAACCCCAAAAUUCUGGUGCAUAAAUGAUACCUUUACUAAAUAACUGCCUAACACAUUCCUAUAGGAUUUCCAUCUUUCUUUUCUGCUAGUUCUGAGACAGGUUCUCUGUAGCUCUGGCUGUCCUAGAACUUACUAUGUGAACAAGGCUGUCUCCAACUCCCAGAGAUCCACUUGUCCUUGCCACGCCCCCCAAAUGUUGGGAUUAAAGGUGUGUGCCACUACACCACGUCUGGGUCUCCAUCUUUCUACAUUUCUCUUUUGGAAUUCAUAUGCUUUGGUGAUCUUUCCAUAUUAAUUGCCAUUGAACAAUGUUUUCAUACAAAGGAUUCAAAAAGGUCAGCUUGCUCCUUCUUUAAUGUUGAUCCCCAUUUCUGCCUGUCUUAUUUUGAUAGCUGGGAUUUGGAAACUGUAGGUUUUCAAAUAGAGUCUCGGUGUUGCUAGCAUUGUGAAAGAGUGCUCUUCAAAUACUAAACCUGCACCACUGUGUUUCAUCCUGGUCCCACCAACAGAGCACAACCAUGGUGUGUCUGUAACUCUAUGGUCUGUAUUAUUGAGUAAAUUCUUGAAAGAACUCCCAUUUCAACUAAAGGUCAGAGAAAAUUCUGGCUGCUGCCAUUAAUUGUAUAUAUUUUAUAACUUGAAGGAUUUCCCUGAGGUAAACAUCAUGUGUUUCAAACCUUCUGAUUCCUUCAGCCCCCACCCU
rnacentral:lncRNA from 1 species